rnacentral:rRNA from 1 species
AUUGAACGCUGGCGGCAGGCCUAACACAUGCAAGUCGAGCGAGCGGCGAACGGGUGAGUAAUGUCUGGGAAACUGCCUGAUGGAGGGGGAUAACUACUGGAAACGGUAGCUAAUACCGCAUACCAUCAGAUGUGCCCAGAUGGGAUUAGCUAGUAGGUGGGGUAACGGCUCACCAAGGCGACGAUCCGUAGCUGGUUUGAGAGGAUGACCAGCCACAAUGGGACUGAGACACGGCCCAGACUCCUACGGGAGGCAGCAGUGGGGAAUUUUGGACAAUGGGCGAAAGCCUGAUCCAGCCAUCCCGCGUGUGCGAUGAAGGCCUUCGGGUUGUAAAGCACUUUUGGCAGGGAAGCGGUACCUGCAGAAUAAGCACCGGCUAACUACGUGCCAGCAGCCGCGGUAAUAC